UCGCCCUUUUUCACUUAUUGUAUAAGACACAAUGAGUGAAAAAAAAUUAUCACCUGUGAUAAAGGGCAUCGCAUUGUGGAGGGGGAAGCAUGUAUUAAACAGUAUCAAUAGAUCAAAUGAGAGUUCGGGCAGCUUAAGAACAGUGAACUCACUGUGAUGUUCAAGAAUUGAGUGUGUUUGUGUCCAAAUGUCACUCUGGUUAAUUGCACUGAUGGUACAUUUUGUGCUUUGGAGACCAGACACUCUGAACAUCAUGUGCUGUUGGUUCUUUGUGGUUAAAUGAGAAAUUGCUCAAUCAGAAACCCACAAACACCCGCAGAGAGAGAUGAAGUUAUUUUAAAAUAUCUGAGGGCUGCUGUGCAUCCUUCAGCAUGUCUUUACUGCACACCAUCUGUUACUGUGCUCACAGUGCCAGGUGCAUGUGCAGGUGCACUAUAGCAGCACACAGAAACAUGCAGUGGACUCAUAUUAUUUUAGCUCUACUGAACAUCAUGUGGAUUGCUUUCUUUUUACCUCCACAUCUUGUCCCAGUGUUUGUGCAGAGAAGAAGCACGAGCAUCUCUGAUGAGGAAACCCUGCUGAGAGAGUUUUGUAUUCAGCCUCCACCUGACAUAAACUGGAUAUCAAGUGUACCAGCAGUCUACAUCCCUGAUAAUAAAACCAACUCCACCAACACAACCCUAAAAAGAGACCUUGAUGGGACAAAAGCAACUACUUCUCCUGUAGUGGAGCUGAAGGUCCCAGGAGUCACCACACCCUCAGAGACAGUUUCUCACAGCAGCUCUGCAGCUCCUCAGCGUAGAGUGAAACAACAACCGAACUCUCCUUUCCAAGCAAAUUAUGCUUCCGGUUUACGUGAGUUAGUGUGAUGUUACUUUCAUUAUUUGUUUCUGAAAAUGUGGAUGAACAACUUGCCAAAUUUUUUGCACCAGCACUAAUCAGUCAUUGUAUAUGUUCAAACUUGUACCACAAAAUAUUUAGGCAAAGUUUAGCAGAAGUCCUGAGUUAUUUUGAACCUUCACACAUUCUGCUGGAGGGAAAUGAUAUAAAAUACUCAUUUAUAUGUUUAUAUUAUAAUGGCUUGUCUACUGAGCUUCUAUAAUCAUAAGUACAUACUUAUUAAGGUAGAAUUUUUAAGAUGGCUUUAAAAAGUAUUUUAUCCUUCAUAGAAGAAGAAAUGAAAAUGCAGUUUGCAGUCAUAAUUUUUAAGGGAACUACAACGCUAGCCAAAGAUAUCUUUAACCUACUUAACCUAACCUACCAAAUAUUAUAUGUUUCUGGUUAUGGUGAGUUAGUAUGCUUCUGCUUUCCCUUUUUGUAUCCAAAAACAUGGAUGAAAAUUUUGUGAAUCCUUUCGUAUCAGCACUGAUUCAUUGUAAAUUGCUCAGAAUCCUCACAUCAGUACUAUUUUCAUUACUUUAGCGUUGGUCACAAAUUUAACAAACAUUCAGACGACAUCACCUCUACUACACCUUGCCUGGAAGUGAUCAACAAAAUGAACAAACUUCUUUGUUUUUAUGUUUUGAUUAAUUUUGACAUGUUUGACUACUUUGCUUCUUUAAUAUGUUAAUACACAACACUACUGCAAGGAAACUGUUUCACAUUUAGGUUCACAUAUGACAGCCUAGUUGACAUUUUAAGCAAAUGAAUAUAUAUUUAUUGAUAUAGAAUUUUGGAGCUGGUUUUAUUCAGUGUUCAGAUUUCUGAAAUGAAAGGUGUGCAAAUUAGGACAUAUUUUUUAUACACAAUUACAUUUUACACUUUAAAAAAUUUGUAGCAGGGCUCUAGACUAACUUUUUGCCACAGUUGCACUGGUGCGCCUAACUUUUUUUCUUAGGUGCACCAGGACAAAAGUUAGGUGCACCCAAAUUUGUCAACCGCAUCGCUUAAGCUUGAUAGUGGCCAUGAUGCCAGGU